ACUGAGACCACUGGAGAGAAGAGGAGGAAAAGAGACAAAGAGUUCAAGGAAGUGAUAAGCCAGAGGACUUGUAAAAUAAAGCCUUAAGAAACAAGCAAAACAAAAAGUGCAUCAAGAUGUACCUACUGUCAUCUUGGGGCCUAUUUGUAGCCCUUGUGCUUCAGCUCUCUGAAAAGACAAUGCCCAGCUAAGACAAAGGAGCAUGGGCUGAGGUUGAAGACUUGAACUGAAGCUUCUUGAGAAAUGUUCCUCAAAAUCUGGGAUUUAGAAUUACAUAUUUGGAAAUCCGAAUUUGUGUUGGCUUCUCCUUCAUCAAAGACAUAGUUGAGCUUUAUGACAGUGCUGAUAAAAUCACCAAGUUCUACAAAAUCGGCAGUGACAAUAUUGAUGCCACUUUCUCCUGGCUUCUGCGUGCGGACCCACUGCAUCAUGGCAGGAAGAGCUCUGAGAAAGGAAAGAAAAAGAGAAGUCACAGAAGAAUGUUCUGAUGCACUUGAGGGUAAAGAUUACUAUGAAAAUGUCAAUGUCUUGUAACUUCCUGUCCCAAGCCCAACCUGAGAAAUGGAGACUUCAUUGAUCUGCAAAAUUUAAAAUGAUGGUCACAGGUGUUUCUUCCUCUGAACAACUGAGU